AGAAUUGAUCUGGUCAGGAUGAACGCUAGCGACAGGCCUAACACAUGCAAGUCGAGGGGCAGCACAAGGAGCAAUCUGAGGUGGCGACCGGCGCACGGGUGAGUAACACGUAUGCAACCUGCCUGUAAGCGGGGAAUAACCCGUUGAAAGACGGACUAAUACCGCAUAAUACUAAAUUACUGCAUGGUAAUUUAUUUAAACAUUUAUGGCUUACAGAUGGGCAUGCGCAUGAUUAGCUAGUUGGAGAGGUAACGGCUCCCCAAGGCAACGAUCAUUAGGGUUCUGAGAGGAAGGUCCCCCACACUGGUACUGAGACACGGACCAGACUCCUACGGGAGGCAGCAGUGAGGAAUAUUGGUCAAUGGACGAGAGUCUGAACCAGCCAAGUCGCGUGCAGGAAGAAUGUCCUAUGGAUUGUAAACUUCUUUGAAGGGAAUAAAGUACGGUACGUGUACCGUUUUGUAUGUACCCUUCGAAUAAGGAUCGGCUAACUCCGUGCCAGCAGCAGC
rnacentral:rRNA from 1 species